rnacentral:rRNA from 1 species
GUAGUCAUAUGCUUGUCUCAAAGAUUAAGCCAUGCAUGUCUAAGUAUAAGCAAUUAUACAGCGAAACUGCGAAUGGCUCAUUAUAUAAGUUAUCGUUUAUUUGAUAGUACCUUACUACUUGGAUAACCGUGGUAAUUCUAGAGCUAAUACAUGCUAAAAAUCCCGACUUCGGAAGGGAUGUAUUUAUUAGAUUAAAAACCAAUGCCCUUCGGGGCUCUCUGGUGAUUCAUGAUAACUUCUCGAAUCGCAUGGCCUUGUGCCGGCGAUGGUUCAUUCAAAUUUCUUCCCUAUCAACUUUCGAUGUUUGGGUAUUGGCCAAACAUGGUUGCAACGGGUAACGGGGAAUGA